rnacentral:rRNA from 1 species
UACGGAAGGCAGCAGUGGGGAAUAUUGCACAAUGGGCGAAAGCCUGAUGCAGCUAUGCCGCGUGUAUGAAGAAGGCCUUAGGGUUGUAAAGUACUUUCAUCGGGGAGGAAAAACAAAACUAAUAAUUUUAUUUCUUGACGUUACCCGAAAAAGAAGCACCGGCUAACUCCGUGCCAGCAGCCGCGGUAAUACGGAGGGUGCUAGCGUUAAUCAGAAUUACUGGGCGUAAAGAGCACGUAGGUGGUUUUUUUAAGUCAGAUGUGAAAUCCCUGGGCUUAACCUAGGAACUGCAUUUUGAAACUGAAAUACUAGAGUAUCGUAGAGGGAGGUAGAAUUUCUAGGUGUAGCGGUGAAAUGCGUAGAUAUCUGGAGGAAUACCUGUGGCGAAAGCGGCCUCCUAAACGAAUACUGACACUGAGGUGCGAAAGCGUGGGGAGCAAACAGGGAUUAGAUACC